rnacentral:ncRNA from 2 species
CAACAUGACAGAGGCGCGGCCUUCAUCAGUACCUUCGGAAAGCGACGGAAAGCGCGAAGCGAAAGGGAAUGCCGCCGAAGGGCCUUGCGGGUUUCCGACCGUUCGGCCCUGGGGUGCAGGAGAACAUCCUGCGCACUGUCGCAGAGCGGAGUGCUGUCAUGGUU